GAGAGAGAGAGAGAGAGAGAGAGAGGUAGAGGCUGACCAUGAGCAUGUGGAGAGGGGGAUAAGGCGAUGGGGAGAGGGGGGAAGGCGAUAGGGGAGAGAGAGGAGCAAGAAGGCAAGGGCAAGAGCAAGAGAGUGAGGAGGGGGCAAGCAGUACCUUUCAUAGUGAGUCAGGCAUACCCAUCUGUUGUCAGAAAACUGUGAGUCAGAGCUUAGACCAAAUGCUAACAGUAAGCAACUUCCCAGGGUGGCUGGCUCAUGAAUUUCCAGAAAUGUUCCUGUUUCCAUCUUCCAUCCCAUCUUAAGAGCAGAUUGUGCUACCAUCCCAGAAUUUCCUUGGAUGUGGUGAUUCAAGCUCCGGGCUUCAUACUGUGCAAGAACUUUACUCACUGAACCAUCCUCCUAGGCCCCAAUAUAUCCUUGAUGAUGAAAUGCUACCCUGUUAGCAUAGAACAGCA